CCUACGGGAGGCAGCAGUGAGGAAUAUUGGUCAAUGGACGAGAGUCUGAACCAGCCAAGUAGCGUGAAGGAUGACUGCCCUAUGGGUUGUAAACUUCUUUUAUCAAGGAAUAAAACGAGGCACGCGUGCCUUUUUGCAUGUACUUUAUGAAUAAGGAUCGGCUAACUCCGUGCCAGCAGCCGCGGUAAUACGGAGGAUCCGAGCGUUAUCCGGAUUUUUUGGGUUUAAAGGGAGCCUAGAUGGGUUGUUAAGUCAGUUGUGAAAGUUUGCGGCUCAACCGUAAAAUUGCAAUUGAUACUGGCAGUCUUGAGUACAGUUGAGGUAGGCGGAAUUCGUGGUGUAGCGGUGAAAUGCUUAGAUAUCACGAAGAACCCCGAUUGCGAAGGCAGCUUACUAAACUGUGACUGACAUUGAUGCUCGAAAGUGUGGGUAUCAAACAGGAUUAGAUACCCUUGUAGUC
rnacentral:rRNA from 1 species